CCCUAGAUGGUACAAUGCGGGAAGUUUCAGGGAUAGCCGGUAGGGUCAACCGUUAUUCAAAUUUUUUAAAAUAACUUCUAAAUUAUAAGUCGGAUCGAUUUUCACUACUGAGAAUUUUUUUUUCAUAUUUCUGAAACUAAGUUCUGAGCUCGAAGAAUAACAAAAAGUUUGGAAAUUCCAAAAGCGCACGCCUCAUAAUUUCAUGUCCCACAAUAAAAUAGAUUAAAAUAAAAUAGAAAAAACAAAAUAAUA